ensembl:snRNA U6 U6 spliceosomal RNA
GUGCUUGGUUCGGCGGCACGUAUAUUACAGUUGGAACGAUACAGAGAAGAUUAUCAUGGCCCCUGUGCAAGGAUGACACAAAUUCGUGAAGCAUUCCAUAUAUUA